rnacentral:rRNA from 1 species
UACGUAGGGUGCGAGCGUUAAUCGGAAUUACUGGGCGUAAAGCGUGCGCAGGCGGUUCGUUAAGUUCGUUGUGAAAGCCCCGGGCUCAACCUGGGAAUGGCAAUGGAAACUGGCGGGCUGGAGUAUGGCAGAGGGGGGUGGAAUUCCGCGUGUAGCAGUGAAAUGCGUAGAGAUGCGGAGGAACACCGAUGGCGAAGGCAGCCCCCUGGGCCGACACUGACGCUCAGGCACGAAAGCGUGGGGAGCAAACAGG